rnacentral:lncRNA from 1 species
AUGACCCCUCCUGUAUUUUUUAUCUUCAGGAAGGUUCUCAAAGAUUUGAAUAUGAAGGGUACCUGAUACCCAAAGGAUGGCAGGUGUGAUAUGAUUCUGAGUUUGCAUACCUUAUCAUUAAUAUAGUUAACCAAACCACUUCAAAACAUACAUAAUGCUGUACAAAGUUACCACUUUUUUGACUCAGGUAAUGUUGUCGACCAUCAUGACACAUAUGGAUGACAGCAUCUUCCCACAUGCAUCAAGAUUUGAUCCAGAACGUUUCCAGAAUAAAGCAUCAGUCCCGCCGUAUAGUUUUGUAUCAUUCGGGGGAGGAGCACGCAUAUGUCCUGGAUUUGAAUUUGCAAGACUUGAAACUCUGAUCACAAUACAUUACCUGGUGAACAGGUUCGUUUGGAAGCUCUGUCACCCUGGCAUUUCUUUUUCAAGAGAUCCAUUUCCACUCUUCAAGGAUGGACUGGAGAUAGAAAUUGAGCCAAGGACCCCACUGUGAUAGAUAACUAAAUGCAUGCUCUAAUGUAUAUAUGCUCUCUGUCCUUCAAUUUGCAGAAUAUUCUGUUGAAUAAUUACUUAAAGUUGAAUCCAGAUAUGAGGGAACUUCCAUCUGUGUGUUUGUAGCAUUGCUAAUUGCCGAGCAAUUUCAGAUUUCCUUUUUUUUCAAGUUAAUGAUGUAGGGAAUCGAACAGCCGGAUGUGAAUAUGUUGUAACUGGAGCACGCGGAAAGCUUAGGGUGAUCCUUAAGCAUGGUUAUAGGUUUUCUCAACAAGGGAGAGAGAUCGAAAUCCUCUCUUUCUCGAGAUCCCCUGAAUCGCCGCAUCCCCUCUCUCCCGCAACGGGGCUAAAGCUCACGGUCCGGUUGAAUCACUAAACCGGCGACACGUUUAUGGAUCAAUGAGACAAUCUAAAUAGCUAAACUAUGCUAUUGAUUUUAGGGGGUGUGAAAAUGGAGAGAGACUUGUUAGGAUUUUUCACAGUUUUGGAUAGUUUCAAGGCAUAUGUGGAUCCUGCUCCCCGCAUCAUCAAGAACUUUCUUGCUUCUCAAGCUGGACAAAUAAGUUUGAUGAAUGCAUAGACAUUUUUUAGUUUCUCAGACACAAAAACUCUAUGAACAGAACCCAUUAAUUAAAGUAAAAAAAAGAAUGAAGAGGAUGUGAUAGAAAAAUCGUUCAAGUGGAUGUUACACUACGAGGAAAUUGGAAAAAAAAAAAAAGCAACGGAAACACCAGGAAAAUAUUUCAUCACUGUUUACUAUAAAAAUUACAACGAAAAAUUUCCAGAAAAAUAAUGAUGUGGCAUUUGCAGAAGGGUUUGGACACUGAUAUGGCUAUCUUUAUUUUCCUUGCAUGCCAACACAGUGUCUUCGUCUUCAUCUGUGGACACUUUAAUUGUUCUGUUCAUCAUAAAGGAAGAUGCUGGGAGGUUGGCUCCAGCCUCCACUUUUGACCUCUGUAUAUCAAACAAAUUAUAUGGGACAGUGACCGGAAAUGAGAGGGCCGAUAGGCCUUGGCAAAGAAUUGGCUACCUCCAUUCUCAAUUAUUGGCAAUACGUAAUUAACAUUACUGUAACUUUGAUGUUAAUUGCUCCCCAGAGGCAAGCAUAUCUUUUGUUUCACCUCAGCAAGUUCUUUUUUUAGUUACAGUAAUGUUAAUUAAGUAUUGCCAAUAGAUAGGUAGGCAUGCGAUUUUCGAGUUUUUUUAGGGAUUAUUUCAACUUACAUCGUUGGAUGAUUUAAUACUCUUAUAAUGACACUAAAUUUUCCAUGUAAUUUUCAUAUUUCUUAUAAUCCUGUAUACAUAGAAAUGGGUUUUUUUUAUUAUUAUUUUUAUUAAAGGCAAGUAAAUAUAUCUGAUAAAAAAUAUAUAAAGCUGGAGAACCAACAAGUUUAGGAUCUUUUAUUUUUUGAUUUCAUAAUUUAAAGGAUUCAAUCUAUGUAUUAUGUAUUAGUGUGUUUGUUGGCAUCAAACAAACUCGAUUAAUAUCUAAAUUAUAGGCUUGUAGAAAAACAAAAAGUUUAUUUUUUUAAACUCUACGGAUUAGAGACUGGCAAGUUAGGAUUUUGAGAAAUCCUAACCCAUCGGUCUAUUGGUUAGUCUAAACCAGCUGACUGGUUGGUUUAUGUAAUGAUCAACCGGUUGACCUUGCAGUAGUAGUUAAUCAGGUCUAUUAGAUUCAUUCAGUUUAGGUUAUGUUUAGAAUCAAUCAAGUGAAUCAGUUCAGCUUUAUUAUUAUGAUUUGAUCUCUAAGUCUAGGGUUUUUAUAUUUUAUAUUAUGUUGCUUUGAGUUAUUGUUUUAGUGUUUUUUAUAUUUAUUAUAGGUUUUAUUGACAUUCCUCCUAGUAAGUCUUAGAAAUCUUUGAUUUUGAAUUCGUUUAAUUUUUUGAGUGAGUUGAAUCAUUUCUAUUAUGUAUUACACACACACAUAUAUAUAUAUAUAUAUAUAUAUAUAUAUAUAUAUUUGUGUGUGUGUGUGGGAGGCCAUUUCAUACACUAUUGACACCCUAAUCACCCGCUAAAAAAUAAAUAUCAUGUACACACAAGCUAAUAACUGUUAGCACGAUUUAGCUUUAAAUUUAAAAAAUAAAUUGAUGAAUUAACACGGUAAUAAAAAUAUUUUAUGAAAUAAUAUAUUUUUAAUUUUUCACAAUCACAAUCAUUAUAUAUAUUAAAUAUUAUAUUUUUAAAUUGCAAUAAAUAAUUGAUAUUAUAAUUAAAAAAUAAAAUUUUAAUUAAUUUGAUGAUUUUCAACUACAACAUCAAUUAAUUGUUGUUUCAAAUCAAUUAUCAUCUAUUUUAGUUAAAGUUUAUACUCAAAGAAAUUUAUCAAAGCUUGCUGUACAAUCUGUUUUAAUGCAGACACGACAUUCUAUAAAAUUUAUUGUGGUCUCUUUGAACGCAAUUAAAGAAUCAGUUUGUCUGAUAUUUACUAAAUAUUAUUUUUUUGAAGCGUUACAUGUGAAAGGUAAAAAUAUAUUAGUUUUAAAAAAUACAAACAAUAUUAUUAUGUAAUUUUUAUGUAUUUAUUAUUGUGCUAAUUAAAAAAAAUCGUAAAAAUAUUGUACAGUGAAACCUACCGAACCUCGAACAAGGGAGCUUGGUCAUGGGAACCGUGAAUCCCAUACCCAACUGUUGUUUCCUGUUUUCUAUGCUCGAUCAUGUGUGUGUAUUUCCCUUUUGUUUAUUUUUCUUUUUUAAUUUUUUCUUUAUUUUUAAUUUAGCCCUUGAUCUUUUAAUUCUGCUAUAUUCAGUCAAUUUUGAAUCGAUUUUUCAAGACUUCUUUCAAGUAAGCCCUGGAUCACAUUCGUAAUCAUCAUUCAAUAUUGAGACCUUUUACACUUCAGCUCUUGGAUGUUUAAUUUGUACAAUUUUUUUCUUCAAUUAGGCUCCUAAUGGAAUUAAUAUGGUCGUCAUAUUCCUGCGCCUGUUUUAUUUUGAUCCUUGAUCUUUUAAUUAUUCUAAUUUUGAUCAAAUAUUUUGACUCUAAAUCUCAAUCUUCCUCUUCAAUUGAGCUCUUAAUCGAACCAAUUAGAUCCUCAAAUUUCAACAGCCCUUCCAUUUUGUUUUUUGGUCCUUUAGAUUUUUAAUUUUGGUCAAAUUGACUCUAAAUUUUAAGUUUCUCUUUAAUUAAGCCCCCAAUUGAGUUAAUUGAAAUUCCAAACUUUUCCAUCUCUUUUGUUGUGGUCAUUGACUUGUAAAUUUAGCCAAUUUUUCCUUUAAUUCAAAAUUUUCUCCUCGGUUAGGCUCUCAACUAAAAUAAUAGGACUUCAAAUUUUAAUUUUUUAUCUUUUUCAUUUUGGUCAUUGGUCUUUUAUCUCUUUAAACUAUUAUCAAUUUUAACACUUUCUUUAAUUAAACCCCAAAUUGCAUACCCACAUAACUUUUUGAUCAACUACAAAAUAAAUUUUUAUCUAGUUUCAACCCGGAGUUAUAUUUUAUUUUUAAAAUUCAACAUCAUCGCAAUGUAUUUUUUUUUUUCAAAAUUCUAUAUAUUUCAUCUGGAAUUCAGUUAGUAUAUACUAAUAAAACAAUUCUAUUAGUAUAUACUGACGGUUUUACCGAUCGAUUUAUAUCCGUCAAUAAAUAUCACCGUAAAUUGCCAACAAAAAAUUUUCAUCCAUAAUUUUGUUGGUUUUAAUUAAAUUUCUAGUAGUGUUUUAAGAUGUUUAAUAAGCUAGAUUUAUUGGCUAAUUAAGCAAGCAUUGAGAAGAGUUGUUUUGUGCAAUUUGCUUACUUGUUCACGAGGGUUUAGGGUUUUAGGGUUUAGGGUUUAGGGUUUAGGGUUUAGAUAAUUUCAUUGUUGAUAUUUUAAAUUGUUUGAUGUAUAUUUAUAGUCAGAUUUUAAUAAUAAAUAUUUUUAAAGUAUUUUUUUUAUUAAAAAUAAAUCAAAAUAAUUUUCUUCAUAUUCUUUUUUUUUUGUUUUUAACAGCACCAUAAUAAAAUCAUCGAAUAACUUGUUUAGAAUCAAAUCAUGAGUGGAAUUUAAUUCAAUUUCAUAUAAGGAUUGAAUUGAAUUAAUAAUAUAUUAUAAUUCUUAAAUCCCGUAAUUGAAUUUAAUUUAAACACACAUGGAGAUGAUGAGUUGGAUUAGCUAUUUUGCUUUUAAUUUAAAAAUAAAUUUGAUACAAAAUCAACAAAAUAGAUAAAACGUGGAUCUGCAUAUCAUUGGAUUCACCGAAUCAAGUCAUUUUAUUUUUUUUAGUUUUUCCUGAAUUUGAAGUCCACUACGGCUUUGAGAAUCCGUGAAGUAAAGAGGGCCGAAGCCAUCAAUCUUGCAAGAACCCUACUUUGUAGUAUUUCUGAUAUUUUCAUUAUUAUUCUGAAGACUGCAAGAGUGACUGAUUUUGCCUGAUGGGAUCGUAACAGGGAAUGGCAGGACCAGUGGGCCAGGACAAAGAAUUUACAAAAAGAAGAUAAAAUACUUAAUUAACAUUACUGUAACUUUGAUGUCGAUGCCCGGCCAAUCCUAAGGCAAGCAAUUUUAUCUUAUUGAUAUAGAUAAAAAAAUCGUUUGGGAACGCGGUUGAAACUGUAUUUUCAUAAAAUUUAAAUUAUUUUUCUUGUUAAAAUUUAAUAUAAUUUAUAUAUUUUAGAUCAUUUUAAUAUAUUGAUGUUAAAAAUAAUUUUUAAAAAAUAAAAAAAUAUCAUUGAUAUAUAUUUCGACACGAAAAAUUAUUUAAAAAGAAACCGCUACUAUACUGCCAAACAUACUUAAAAUAGCACGGAAAAUUCAUAGUCACACACAAGAAAUAUAAAAUUAGUUAAAUUAUACAUUAAUUAUUGAUUUUUUUUUAUAAUGUGAUUUAUUUUUAUAAGAGAUUUACAGCUCUUUAAAUAGAUAAAAAAAAUGAAAUUUUAUAAAUAACAAAAAUAAAAAUUUUAAGCCAAAUAAAAAAGUCAAUAUAAAAUUCAAAAUUAAGUUACAAAUAAGAAAAUAAAAAAGAAAAAGAAAAAUAACAAAAUUAAUUAAAACAUCAUCUUUCGAACCUAAUUUAAGAGGUUUUGACAUGAACAAAAAUAACAUCAGAAAUACUUCAAUAACAAGCAACAUAAAAUUUCGCUAAUAAAAUCACCAUCCAAAAAAUUCUAAAUUUUUUACUGAAUAUUUAUUUUUAUAUAAUAUAUUGAAAUACAAAUUAAACAACUUAGUAGGGAAUAUUAAUACACCUUUAUCUUGUCAUAAACGGUAUCAUUGAAUUCUCAAUGAUAUUUACUUUAAUCAAGAAGAUAGCUCCUUUACUCGUGUCUUUAAAAUGGAAUCUGAAAUUUGGCUAUGAAUCCAUCAUCAUUUUCUUCACAAUUCUCCAAUCUUUUCUUUUUUAUCUUUAUUAAUUGAUUGAAUAAUUCUUCAACUUGCCUUUAUAAUUUUAUUAUUACUAGUUGAAUGAUUAAUCCUGUCUCUGUAAAACAAGAGAUGACUCUCUCCUUUUCUCGUGAUGGUACAUCAUUGACUUUAGGAUACAUUUGUGAGAUGGCUCUCUCUUUUUCACUUGUUGGUGCAUUAAAGUCUUUGGGAUACAACCUAAUUUCUUCAUUCUUUAUUUUCAGUGUGUUAGUGAAUGAAUUGAUGGCUGAUUUGAUAUAUUUGUUUUUUAUUUUAAAAAUAUUUUAAAAAAAUUAAUUUUUUUUUAAUUUUUUAUUAACUUCAAAUUAAUAUGUUUUUAAUGUUUUUAAAUUAUUUUGAUAUGCUGAUAUAAAAAUAAUAUUUAAAAAAUAAUAAAAAAUUAUUAACAUGUAUUUUAACAUGAAAUAUUAUUUGAAAAACAACCAUAAUCACACUUCAGUGUAAUACUCUAAAACAAGUUGAGAAAGUACUAUUAUUUCCCAUAUUUUUUUUAUCCUUUACUAACUAUGAAUAUUUUAGAAAUAAUUCUUUGAUAUAAUAGGAAUCAUAUAAUUAUAAUAAUUUUAUAAUUUUUCAUAUAAAAUAUUUUUGUUUAUAAGCUUUAUUUUACUUUAAAUUUAUUAAUAUAAUAUUAUAUGAAUAUUAAAGAUAAAUUAAAUAUUUAUUAAUAAUAAACAUAUAUUUCCAUAAAUAUAAUAAUAUCACGUGAAUCUAAUCUAUUGGCUAUAAUUAUAUUAAAGUAACAACCCAUCAACCCGUAUAAGUGCGCUAAUUGCAUGGCAUCAAUCUUCAGCAGCUAUGAUGAUUCAAGUGUUCUUUUUCUUGCUUGUUUUCCUUCUCUCUGUCUACCUUCUCCUCACCAAAAAUGCUUCCAAAAGGCUUCCACCAGGUUCUUUGGGUCUUCCCAUCAUAGGUCAAAGCCUCAGCUUCCUAAGUGCCAUGCGCAAAAACACAGCAGAAGAAUGGCUGCAGGAUAGAAUAAGAAAAUAUGGCCCUGUUUCGAAAAUGAGCAUCCUCGGGGCCCCUACUCUGUUCAUUCAUGGCCAGGCAGCAAACAAGUUCUUCUUCAGUUGCGACGGCAACACUCUGGACAGUAAGCAGCCAUCGUCGAUAAGUAGGGUUUGCGGCGAGAGGAAUAUCCUGGAACUAAGUGGCCAUGACCAUAAGCGCGUAAGGGGAGCUCUCUUGUCUUUCUUAAAGCCUGAAGUUCUGAAGCAAUAUGUUAGUAAGAUGGAUGAAGAGAUUAGAAAGCAUUUCGAGAUGCAUUGGCACGGCAAGAAAACGGUUUUGGUCAGUGAAUUUUAUCUAACAAUUGCUAACCUCCACUGAUUACAUAUAUCACAAGUAAUAUUUUGUAUUUCUGCACCUUUGAUGCCUUUUAUAUCUGAUUUAUCUCUUGACAACAUAGGCAAUGCCAUCGAUUAAGACCCUCACCUUCAAUAUUAUGAGCUCGCUUAUUAUUGGGAUAGAGGAAAGUGCAAAAAGAGACAUACUCCUACAGCUCUUCGAACAACUGAUGGAGGGUGUUCUAUCAGUACCAUUCAAUUUUCCCUUCACACGAUUCAAUCGAAGCCUCCAAGCAAGUGGGAAAAUCAGACCGAUUUUAGAGGAUCUUAUCCGAGAAAAAAGAGCUGCACUGGAGCAUGGAACUGCCUUUCCUCAACAAGAUCUUAUCACGACCUUGCUUGUCUCCGAAACGAGGAGAAUUCAGCAGUAUUAACUGAUGAGGAAAUUAUAGAUAAUGCAAUCGUGAUAAUGAUAGCAGGCUAUGACACCUCCUCCGUCCUCCUCAGUUUGUUGAUCAGGCUUUUAGCCGAUGAUCCAUCUAUUUAUGCCAGCAUCCUUCAAGGUAUGUAACUAAAUUGAUUCAAUAAAAACCAAAUAAUAUUGCAAGAAAUCAUAGCAAACACUACGAUUUGAGAUUGCAGAACAAGCAGAGAUUUCCAAGAAUAAAGCCUCUGGGGAGCUCUUAACAUGGGAUGAUCUCACAAGAAUGAAACAUACAUGGAGUGUAGCAUCGGAGACCCUAAGGAUGACCCCUCCUGUAUUUUUUAUCUUCAGGAAGGUUCUCAAAGAUUUUGAAUAUGAAGGGUACCUGAUACCCAAAGGAUGGCAGGUGUGAUAUGAUUCUGAGCUUGCAUACCUUAUCAUUAAUAUAGUUUAACCAAAACACUUCAAAACAUAUAUAAUGCUGUACAAAGUUACCACUUUUUUGACUCAGGUAAUGUUGUCGACCAUCAUGACACAUAUGGAUGACAGCAUCUUCCCACAUGCAUCAAGAUUUGAUCCAGAACGUUUCCAGAAUAAAGCAUCAGUCCCGCCGUAUAGUUUUGUAUCAUUCGGGGGAGGAGCACGCAUAUGUCCUGGAUUUGAAUUUGCAAGACUUGAAACUCUGAUCACAAUACAUUACCUGGUGAACAGGUUCGUUUGGAAGCUCUGUCACCCUGGCAUUUCUUUUUCAAGAGAUCCAUUUCCACUCUUCAAGGAUGGACUGGAGAUAGAAAUUGAACCAAGGACCCCUCUGUGAUAGAUAACUAAAUGCAUGCUCUAAUGUGUGUC